AGCGAACGCUGGCGGCAGGCUUAACACAUGCGAGUCGAGCGCCCCGCAAGGGGAGCGGCAGACGGGAGAGUAACACGUGGGAACGUACCUUUCAGUACGGAACAACCAAGGGAAACUUUGGCUAAUACCGUAUACGCCCGUAAGGGGAAAGAUUUAUCGCUGAAAGAUCGGCCCGCGUCUGAUUAGCUAGUUGGUGGGGUAAUGGCCCACCAAGGCGACGAUCAGUAGCUGGUCUGAGAGGAUGAUCAGCCUCACUGGGACUGAGACACGGCCCAGACUCCUACGGGAGGCAGCAGUGGGGAAUAUUGGACAAUGGGGGAAACCCUGAUCCAGCCAUGCCGCGUGGAUGAUGAAGGUCUUAGGAUUGUAAAAUCCUUUCACCGGUGAAGAUAAUGACUGUAGCCGGAGAAGAAGCCCCGGCUAACUUCGUGCCAGCCGCCGCGGUAAGAC
rnacentral:rRNA from 1 species